UACGAAGGGGGCUAGCGUCGCUCGGAAUCACUGGGCGUAAAGCGCACGUAGGCGGAUCGUUAAGUCAGGGGUGAAAUCCUGGAGCUCAACUCCAGAACUGCCUUUGAUACUGGCGACCUUGAGUUCGGGAGAGGUGAGUGGAACUGCGAGUGUAGAGGUGAAAUUCGUAGAUAUUCGCAAGAACACCAGUGGCGAAGGCGGCUCACUGGCCCGAUACUGACGCUGAGGUGCGAAAGCGUGGGGAGCAAACCGG
rnacentral:rRNA from 1 species